UACAGAGGUGGCAAGCGUUGUUCGGAAUUACUGGGCGUAAAGGGCGCGUAGGCGGUCUUUUAAGUCUUGUGUGAAAUCCCUCGGCUCAACUGAGGAACUGCACGGGAUACUGGAAGACUUGAGUUCGGGAGAGGGAAGCGGAAUUCCGGGUGUAGCGGUGAAAUGCGUAGAUAUCCGGAGGAACACCGAUGGCGAAGGCAAUCCCCUGGACCUGUACUGACGCUCAUGCACGAAAGCGUGGGGAGCAAACAGG
rnacentral:rRNA from 1 species